AUCCAAUUGACGAGUCCUACAUAGGACAAAAUGAGCGUCCUGGAU
rnacentral:hammerhead_ribozyme from 1 species